CAAAUCGUGUCUAGGGUUUCUUUCUCUUCUGGAAAAGGCGACAGCUUCGUUCUCGCCAUCCUUGCCGCCGAAGCUCCAUUUUCCGGCAAUAUAAACACCAAAAUCAAAAGGAUCUUAGCUAGUUCCGUCCUAUUCCUUCCUUGUCUCCGUCGUUGUCUCCGUCGUUUCCGUUGUCCGGCUUUUGGCAAAUCGAAACCAAAUCUCGAUCGAAAUCAAAAUCAAAAUCGACUCGCCUUUGUCUCCUCCUCUCCUUUGUCGGGCAAAUCUCCGGUCAUACAGAGAAGGUGAGGUCAACAAGUGGAAACUACACCGGAUUCUUCAAGAAAUCUGCGUUUGCUCGAAAGAUAAAGGUUGAACGAAGAAAUGGACCGUGAUUAUGACUAUGGUAUAAACAGCCCAUUAGACUAUAGUACUGAGUCAUCAGAGGAGGCUGAGACUUGUCACUAUCCUCCGGAACCAGCUCCUGCGAUUGGAUUCACAAGCCUCCGGAACCAGGUCAACGUACCAGCUCCUGCGAUUGAUCCAGCUCAACUGAACCUGCUCAACGUACCAGCUCCUGCGAUUGAUCCAGCUCAACUGAAUCUGCUCAACGAACAGGUGAUCCAGCUCAACGACCAAAUGAUCCACCUCAAGGUACUUGUGAUCCAGCUGAAGGAUCAAGUGAUCCAGCUCCAACACCAAGUGAUACAGCUGACUGACCACGUGAACCAGCUCAAGUAAUGUCUCGGAUGUGUGGUUGUUGUUUGUUUUCGGAUGUGUGGAUGUUGUUUGUUUUCGGAUGUGUGUAUGUCUACCCGUGAAUGUUGUUGUGUGGAUGUUGUUUGUUUUCGGAUGUGUGUAUGUGAACCCGUGAAUGUUGAUGUGUGGAUGUUGUUUGGAUUUUUGUUUAGACUAGUUUGAUAGUAUGUGAACCCGUGAAUGUUGAUGUGUGUAUGUGAACCCGUGAUGUUUAGUAUCAUUUUGUUUCUUUGGAUUUUAGUUU